ACUGUUUCUAGAGCAAGUGACAAAAAAUUUGGUGGUUGGUAUCCGAGGUCCCAAGAUCAAAUCGUAAUUGAUUCACAUUUUCAACUAAGUUUAUUUCUAAAUAAAAUAAACGAAACGGAUAACAUAUUAUCUAUCUCUUAAAAAAAAAAGUAUUGAAAAGGAACAUGAAUUCAUUUUCAAUUUUUAUUGAUUAUAUUUUAGAACAAAAAUGACAAUUUCUGAUAUAUUUUGAAGCUGCACAAGAGUACAGGCAGAAAAUUUAUU
rnacentral:lncRNA from 1 species